rnacentral:rRNA from 1 species
AUUGAACGCUGGCGGCAGGCUUAACACAUGCAAGUCGAGCGGGGUGAUGGUGCUUGCACUAUCACUUAGCGGCGGACGGGUGAGUAAUGCUUAGGAAUCUGCCUAUUAGUGGGGGACAACAUCUCGAAAGGGAUGCUAAUACCGCAUACGUCCUACGGGAGAAAGCAGGGGAUCACUUGUGACCUUGCGCUAAUAGAUGAGCCUAAGUCGGAUUAGCUAGUUGGUGGGGUAAAGGCCUACCAAGGCGACGAUCUGUAGCGGGUCGGAGAGGAGGAUCCGCCACACUGGGACUGAGACACGGCCCAGACUCCUACGGGAGGUAGCAGUGGGUAAUAUUGGACAAUGGGGGGAACCCUGAUCCAGCCAUGCCGCGUGUGUGAAGAAGGCCUUAUGGUUGUAAAGCACUUUAAGCGAGGAGGAGGCUCUUUUGGUUAAUACCCAAGAUGAGUGGACGUUACUCGCAGAAUAAGCACCGGCUAACUCUGUGCCAGCCGCCGCCGUAA